UACGGGGGGGGCAAGCGUUGUUCGGAAUUACUGGGCGUAAAGGGCUCGUAGGUGGCCAACUAAGUCAGACGUGAAAUCCCUCAGCUUAACUGGGGAACUGCGUCUGAUACUGGGUGUCUUGAGCCAGCUAGGGGCUACCGGAACAAAUGGUGGAGCGGUGAAAUGCGUAGAUAUCAUUUGGAACGCCAAUGGUGAAAACAGGUAGCUGGGGCUGUGCUGACACUGAGACACGAAAGCCAGGGGAGCGAACGGG
rnacentral:rRNA from 1 species